rnacentral:rRNA from 1 species
UGCAAGUCGAGCGGCAGCGAGUUUUACACUGAAUUCUGGAAGCUUCUGGAUAAUAUAGAGGAUUUAUUCAAGAAUUUUGUGUAAAAUGUCGGCGAGCGGCGGACGGCUGAGUAACGCGUAGGAAUUUGCCCCAAAGAGAGGAAUAACUGCCCGAAAGGGUAGCUAAUGCCGCAUACGGUCUUCGGAUUAAAGCCUUCGGGCGCUUUGGGAGAAGCCUGCGUUGGAUUAGGUAGUUGGUAGGGUAAUGGCCUACCAAGCCGACGAUCCAUAGCUGGUCUGAGAGGAUGAUCAGCCAGACUGGAACUGAGACACGGUCCAGACUCCUACGGGAGGCAGCAGUGAGGAAUCUUCCACAAUGGGCGAAAGCCUGAUGGAGCAACGCCGCGUGAAGGAUGAAGGCCUUCGGGUUGUAAACUUCUUUUAUGAGUGAAGAAUAUGACGGUAACUCAUGAAUAAGCACCGGCUAACUACGUGCCAGCAGCCGCGGUCAUACGUAGGGUGCAAGCAUUAUCCGGAGUGACUGGGCGUAAAGAGUUGCGUAGGCGGUUUAAUAAGUGAAUAGUGAAACCUGGUGGCUCAACCAUACAGACUAUUAUUCAAACUGUUAAACUCGAGAAUGGUAGAGGUAACUGGAAUUUCUAGUGUAGGAGUGAAAUCCGUAGAUAUUAGAAGGAACACCGAUGGCGUAGGCAGGUUACUGGGCCAUUUCUGACGCUAAGGCACGAAAGCGUGGGGAGCGAACCGGAUUAGAUACCCGGGUAGUCCACGCCGUAAACGAUGGAUACUAGCUGUUGGAGGUAUCGACCCCUUCAGUAGCGAAGCUAACGCGUUAAGUAUCCCGCCUGUGGAGUACGGCCGCAAGGCUAAAACAUAAAGGAAUUGACGGGGACCCGCA